GCAUCGCUUGAAUCCAGGAGAGGUGAGUGGAAUUCCGAGUGUAGAGGGUGAAAUUGUAGAUAUUCGGGAAGAACACCAGUGGCGAAAGGCGGCUCACUGGACUGGUAUUGACGCUGAGGUGCGAAAAGCGUGGGGAGCAAACAGGAUUAGAUACCUUGGU
rnacentral:rRNA from 1 species